rnacentral:sRNA from 3 species
UAUUCUGCCCCACGGGGAAGGAUGAGAAGCUUCGACCAAGGUUCGACUCGAGCGAAGCGAGAGAACGUUGCCGCAGGCAACGGCCCGAAGGGCGAGGCGCUUUAGCGCCGAGUAAUCCUUCCCCCACCACCA